rnacentral:rRNA from 1 species
UGGGGAAUUUUGGACAAUGGGGGAAACCCUGAUCCAGCCAUCCCGCGUGUGCGAUGAAGGCCUUCGGGUUGUAAAGCACUUUUGGCAGGAAAGAAACGUCGCGGGUUAAUACCCCGCGAAACUGACGGUACCUGCAGAAUAAGCACCGGCUAACUACGUGCCAGCAGCCGCGGUAAUACGUAGGGUGCAAGCGUUAAUCGGAAUUACUGGGCGUAAAGCGUGCGCAGGCGGUUCGGAAAGAAAGAUGUGAAAUCCCAGAGCUUAACUUUGGAACUGCAUUUUUAACUACCGGGCUAGAUGUGUCAGAGGGAGGUGGAAUUCCGCGUGUAGCAGUGAAAUGCGUAGAUAUGCGGAGGAACACCGAUGGCGAAGGCAGCCUCCUGGGAUAACACUGACGCUCAUGCACGAAAGCGUGGGGAGCAAACAGGAUUAGAUACCCUGGUAGUCCACGCCCUAAACGAUGUCAACUAGCUGUUGGGGCCUUCGGGCCUUGGUAGCGCAGCUAACGCGUGAAGUUGACCGCCUGGGGAGUACGGUCGC